rnacentral:rRNA from 1 species
UAUACCGUGAAACUGCGAAUGGCUCAUUAAAUCAGUUAUCGUUUAUUUGAUAAUACCUUACUACUUGGAUAACCGUGGUAAUUCUAGAGCUAAUACAUGCUGAAAAUCCCGACUUCGGAAGGGAUGUGUUUAUUAGAUAAAAAACCAAUGCCCUUCGGGGCUUUUUGGUGAUUCAUGAUAACUUUACGGAUCGCAUAGCCUUGCGCUGGCGACGGUUCAUUCAAAUUUCUGCCCUAUCAACUUUCGAUGGUAAGGUAUUGGCUUACCAUGGUUUCAACGGGUAACGGGGAAUUAGGGUUCGAUUCCGGAGAGGGAGCCUGAGAAACGGCUACCACAUCCAAGGAAGGCAGCAGGCGCGCAAAUUACCCAAUCCCGACACGGGGAGGUAGUGACAAUAAAUACUGAUACAGGGCUCUUUUGGGUCUUGUAAUUGGAAUGAGUACAAUUUAAACCUCUUAACGAGGAACAAUUGGAGGGCAAGUCUGGUGCCAGCAGCCGCGGUAAUUCCAGCUCCAAUAGCGUAUAUUAAAGUUGUUGCAGUUAAAAAGCUCGUAGUUGAAACUUGGGUCUGGCUGGCGGGUCCGCCUCACCGCGUGCACUCGUCCGGCCGGACCUUCUUUCUGGAGAACCUCAUGCCCUUCACUGGGCGUGCUGGGGAACCAGGACUUUUACUUUGAAAAAAUUAGAGUGUUCAAAGCAGGCCUUUGCUCGAAUACGUUAGCAUGGAAUAAUAAAAUAGGGCGUGCGUUUCUAUUUUGUUGGUUUCUAGAGACGCCGCAAUGAUUAACAGGAACAGUCGGGGGCAUCAGUAUUCAGUUGUCAGAGGUGAAAUUCUUGGAUUUACUGAAGACUAACUACUGCGAAAGCAUUUGCCAAGGAUGUUUUCAUUAAUCAGUGAACGAAAGUUAGGGGAUCGAAGACGAUCAGAUACCGUCGUAGUCUUAACCGUAAACUAUGCCGACUAGGGAUCGGGCGAUGUUCUUUUUCUGACUCGCUCGGCACCUUACGAGAAAUCAAAGU